UGGACAUGCUUGUUCAGCAGAUAGACCAUGCUUGUUAGAAGAAACGUGUGGAGCAAGAAAACUUCCAAGACUCGGAAAAUUCUGUGGAGAGGGAGGUCGCCAUCCGUUGCUUAAUGCUGUAUCUAUGGGAAAAGGAGGAGGAACUCAUGAAAGAAGAGGAUGGUGACGGGAAUAGUACGGAUGAAUUGAUGAAGAUUGUCACAACGCGAGGUGGUUCUGAUCCAGCCUGUGCAAAGAUCGUCCUAGAGGGAACAGAGGUCCUAACAGAUGUGGAUAUUCCCGAGCCUGCGCCUUGCUGAUGGGGCUGAUGUUGGGUCUUUUGAGAUAGUUUUACUGGGCUGUUUUAUGUAAUUUCUGUAAUUUACUGUUUUUGUGCUACCAACAUGUCAAUAUACAGUAAUGUAUGAAUAAACAGUUUGAUUAUUAA